AGGAUGAACGCUGGCGGCGGUGCCUAAUACAUGCAAGUGAAACGGGUAUCUUCGGAUACCAGUCGCGGACGGGUGAGUAAUACAUAGGCAACCUGCCUUUAUGAGGGGGAUAACCGAGGGAAACUUUGGCUAAUACCGCAUGAAGACUCUAAGGCAUCUUAGAGGGAUAAAAGUUGGGAAACAACGCAUGAAGAUGGGCUUAUGGCGCAUUAGCUAGUUGGUGAGAUAGAAGCCCACCAAGGUAAUGAUGCGUAGCCGACCUGAGAGGGUGAACGGCCACAUUGGGACUGAGACACGGCCCAAACUCCUACGGGAGGCAGCAGUAGGGAAUUUUCGGCAAUGGGGGGAACCCUGACCGAGCAACGCCGCGUGAAAAGGAAGAAGGUUUUCGGAUUGUAAACUUCUGUUAUAAGGGAAGAACGGAUUGGAUAGGGAAUGAUCUGAUAGUGACGGUACCUUAUUAGAAAGCCACGGCUAACUACGUGCCAGCAGCCGC
rnacentral:rRNA from 1 species